GACGAACCGUGCGAACGUUGUUCGGAUUCACUGGGCUUAAAGGGCGCGUAGGCGGGCUCUCAAGUCGGGGGUGAAAUCCCACCGCUUAACGGUGGAAGUGCCUCCGAUACUGGGAGCCUGGAGGGAGGUAGGGGUGUGUGGAACUUCCGGUGGAGCGGUGAAAUGCGUAGAUAUCGGAAGGAACGCCGGUGGCGAAAGCGACGCACUGGACCUCUUCUGACGCUGAGGCGCGAAAGCCAGGGGAGCAAACGGGAUUAGAUACCCCGGUAGUCCUGGCCCUAAACGAUGGGUACGAGGUGGUGGGCCAGCAUGGGCUCACUUCCGAAGCGAAAGUGCUAAGUACCCCGCCUGGGGAGUAUGGUCGCAAGGCUGAA
rnacentral:rRNA from 1 species